rnacentral:rRNA from 1 species
AGUCGAGCGGUAAGGCCCUUCGGGGUACACGAGCGGCGAACGGGUGAGUAACACGUGGGUGAUCUGCCUCGCACUCUGGGAUAAGCCUGGGAAACCGGGUCUAAUACCGGAUACGACCUCCGGCUGCAUGGCUGGUGGUGGAAAGAUUUAUCGGUGUGAGAUGGGCCCGCGGCCUAUCAGCUUGUUGGUGGGGUAAUGGCCUACCAAGGCGACGACGGGUAGCCGGCCUGAGAGGGCGACCGGCCACACUGGGACUGAGACACGGCCCAGACUCCUACGGGAGGCAGCAGUGGGGAAUAUUGCACAAUGGGCGGAAGCCUGAUGCAGCGACGCCGCGUGAGGGAUGACGGCCUUCGGGUUGUAAACCUCUUUCGACUCCGACGAAGCGUAAGUGACGGUAGGGGUAGAAGAAGCACCGGCCAACUACGUGCCAGCAGCCGCGGUAAUACGUAGGGUGCGAGCGUUGUCCGGAAUUACUGGGCGUAAAGAGCUUGUAGGCGGUUUGUCGCGUCGUCUGUGAAAACUCACAGCUCAACUGUGAGCUUGCAGGCGAUACGGGCAGACUUGAGUACUGCAGGGGAGACUGGAAUUCCUGGUG